GGGGGAUCUGCCCCCAGUAACCGCCGUGUGUGUUCACAGUCUGUACGCCUGUCUAAUAAAAUUAACUGUCCAAGCUGGCUUGCCUCUCCUACUUUUCCUCUCCUUUGCUCAUCUUUAAAUAAAAUGAACAGUGAGAAAAUUUAGAAAAGUCUACUUAUUUCAUUCUCCAUUUGUACAUGGGGAGUGGUGAAAGAAGAAUGUUACUUUAAUAAUAGCUAAUUUGGAGCCUUGUUGCCAUUUUUCCAAUCGUUUGACAUAAUAGCCAAAUUGUUAUCACUAAGAUGAUUGCUCAAAUGCUUGUCUUCACGUUUUUAAAGUGAUUUUGUUUGAUAGUAUGCAAAAAAAAGUGCAGCACGUUCCCGACCAGAUCUACGCAGUUUCGAGGCAGAGCACCCACAGCCAGUUUGCGGGUUGCCCGGGGUGGCAUGGCGUGAGCACCGCGGUGGGAUGCGCAUGCUCCCGCUGGCCACGUGGCUCAUGCUGCGUGACGUGAGCCCCACCUGUGCCAACUGGGAAUGAAUCCAGAGCCGCUAUCUGAAGAGAAGCCCCGUUCUCACAUCAUCACGAAUGAGCAACUAAACCAGCCGUGUCGUAGCUAUCUGGCACGAGGAGCUUUCCGUGGGUUCCCAGCAGCCUGCAGGCGGCCCUAGGAAACCCACCUGCGGGGUGCGGAGCCGAUCUGGUGGUGGCUUCAGCGUGGCACCGCUGAGGGGCUCCGAGAAUGCCCUUUUGUUGGUAACAUCACAGCUGCCGUGUACUCAGCCUACUAACUCCUCUGCAGGUCCACCUCAGCUCUGAGUGUGUGUCCACCAUGUGUGUGUUUGCUUUCAUCUGCGUUACUUGCUCCUCAUCUGUGGCAUCAUCGGUCACCUAAUGCUUGAAUGUUAGUGGCAUGCCUUCAUUCUUCACCCUCGCCCCUGUGUGGGCACGGCUGCAGCGAGCCAGCAUUGCUGCUUCCCGGAGGUGUCUGAGCGCUUUUUUUGGAAAGUCCACAAACUUUGGUACGUUACCGCCCAUUUUUUGAACUCUGGAAGUGACAAGAGAGUAUCUUUCAGGGGUGCCUGGGUGGCUCAGUUGGUUAAGCGACUGCCUUCAGCUCAGGUCAUGAUCCCAGGGUCCUGGGAUGGAGCCCCACAUCGGGCUCCCUGCUUGGCGGGAAGCCUGCUUCUCCCUCUCCCACUCCCCCCCGCUUGUGUUCCCUCUCUCACUGUGUCUCUGUCAAAUAAAUAAAUAAAAUCUAAAAAAAAAAAAUAUCUUUCACAUGAGCUGUUGUUUCUGAUUGUAAGCUCUCUAAAGUAAAGACCAUCUUUAAAAGGAUCAUGGGGGUUGUUCACCUCUACCUAGUGCCUGUGGGCGAGAUCCUUUUUGAAGGGGAUUACUGAACAGAGGGUGAUCGAGCGAAUUAUUAGACUGUCUGUGGAGCUUGCUUAGUGAAUGACAGCAGUGUCUAGGUGAUGACAUCAUAGCCUGGCUAAGCGGACAUACCUUAGUUACUGUAUUCAUACUUCAGUUUUCAUCUCAGGCAGUAGUAACUGGACCUAUAAAAAGUAUGUCCAGGGGCGCCUGGGUGGCUCAGUCGGUUAAGCGGCUGCCUUCGGCUCGGGUCAUGAUCCCAGGGUCCUGGGAUCAAGCCCCGCAUCGGGCUCCCUGCUCAGCGGGGAACCUGCUUCUCCCUCUCCCUCUGCCUGCCUCUUUGCAUACUUGUUCUCUCUCUCUAUCUCUCUGUCAAAUAAAUAAAUAAAAUCUUUAAAAAAAAAAAAAAGUAUGUCCAGAAGUCCUGUGGCUCCCUGGAACUCAGCCCACGAAGGCUGUCUGUGCCGGUGACAUUGGAUACUUCUGGAAUCUCAGGACAGUGCCUUUGAGUCUAUCUGAGAGGGCCUCCCCUGUGAGUCCCACCCUGUGGGGAAAAGUAUGCUGGUGCACAGGACACUCCAAAACCACAUUUCUCUUGGAUGUAAAUGCAUUCCCCAGCGUAACUCCUCUGCUUCUCCUUGACUGUUCCGAAGAAUACAACUGAGGAAAGAAAACAAGAAUCAAUGACUUUAUUGAAAGGUUGAUUACAGGUUUUCCACCGGAAACAUCGCAGUGAUUCAGUGAGGAAGGAGGACUUAAGUUUUCCCAAAGAGGUUUUCAGCAGUGGAGAACACAUCCACAAAAUGCCCACAACUUGUUAAUCACACAAUAGUCCAAAGUAAGAUUGUUGUCAUCUGAAGUGUUUUGUGUAGAGGGUUAAACAUUUCCUUCAUUAUUGUUAUGCAGUAGAUAGAAAGGAAGUAUGGGAGUCGAGGCUCACUACUUAAAGUAAUACACGACUCAUUUCAGAGUUAGAAGCUGUGCUCGUGCUGUUGCUGUCGUAGUCUGCUUUGUUGCAAGCAUGCUGUCACCACUUUGCUGUCACAGUUGAGGGCCCAGAAAGAGCCAGUAUAGUUGGAGAGGGCUCUUCAAAGAACCUCAGUAGCCUUGCUCUGCUAAGAAUAGCUGUGCUCUUGAUUUUCUAGAAUGUUAGUCCAUGGACAUUCCCAGGUAGUUUUCACAGAGAUCUGAUUAGAAGAAAUGCAUUUUUUUUCUUGAUGAUUUCUGUAUAUAGCUAAUCUGAGGAAAUACUAACCAGAGGUUCCAAAAAGUUUAAGGUACCAAAAGCUCCAGAUGGCAUUAUCACACUUUUUUUGCUACAUUUUACAUCAUUGCCACAUUUUUCAGUCCCUUGAUUAUCUGUGGUCAGAAAAAAGGACCAUUUUCUCAUCUCUGUACUUAAAAGUGUUUCUUCGUGUAUGUGUAUAAGACCUUUAUGUAAGUGUAGCUAAAAUAAAGUGUGUCAGCUAGAAUAUAGCUUCAUGAAUUGACAUUCAGAUGCUAUCCUGGGGAAUUAACAUGCAUCAUAUAGGGACCCCUUCGUCCCGUCCACCAUGCCAGUCUUCCCUAUGGGGGGAUUUGGUCUUAGGCAGCAUUCUUAUGUCGACAUCGGGCUCAUUUUUCAUUCUCUGCUUGGAAGAAGUGGGACAUUUCAUAUACAGAAAUUGGCUCCUGCCCUGCAAAUUAAUAAUUAUAUCUUUAAGUGGAUAUAUUAAAUACAAGUAAGAAUCUUUGAAUUUUCAAAGCACGGUCUUACUACGAAACUGGGGAAACAGAAUUGCAGGAAUUUUUCAAUUUGCACCAAAAAGCAGAGAAAUAAUCACCUCAUAAACAAUCACCAGCUGCAGCAAGUGACAAUUUAGCUGACAUUAAUACACUGCAAAUCUCGAGAAAUCAGCUCUUUAUCACGACAGUGAAAACUCGGGUUUAUGGAGAUAGAGGAAAUAUUAGGAUUCUGCAUCUUCACAGAAAGAUAGAAGCAUAAUCAGUGCAUUGGUGUCUUCUUAGCAGCUAAUUUUUGAGAAGUAGGAACUUGGGUGGGACUUUUACGGUACUGGUGCAUAGGAAAUCUGUAAUAAAUACUCACUGAACUGUGUCUGCAUUUCAUUUCCCUUUUCUUGGACCGUAUGUGGUGGCAGAUAAUUUAGUAGGGGAAAUAAGUCACGCAAAGGAGCUCCAGAGGAAUAGAAAUAGAGAAUAGUCUCUCAAAGGAAGAUGUUUUUCUACCUCAAGCAUUCAGAGCCAGACACAAAAAGAUGGAAUUUAAGGAAUGACCUUAAAUAGGAGUGGCAAAUUGAUUAAUGUUUCCUCAUUGGGGUUUUUGUAAACUGAACCUGCUGGCUCGUUUAUUUGUAUUAGAAUGAUUGCCUCAGAUUUUGCAUCUUGAGGUCUGUCUUCUCUGUGUCUGAAUGAAAGCCAACAGAGACAGUUAAUUUCUUAAUGUUUUUAAGAUUCCUGACUGUGCCACCUAGGUAACAGGUGUUUUUAGCUUUAUGAGAAAUGCCCUUUAUUCUCCCUGUUCUUCAACUGUUGGCUUUUUUAUUUAUUUUUUAUUCUAGAAAUCUGUACAACAUUGUGCCUAUACAUAACAUUAUUUUACACCCAAAA